AGCGAACGCUGGCGGCAGGCCUAACACAUGCAAGUCGAACGGAUCCUUCGGGAUUAGUGGCGGACGGGUGAGUAACACGUGGGAACGUGCCCUUUGGUUCGGAACAACUCAGGGAAACUUGAGCUAAUACCGAAUGUGCCCUUCGGGGGAAAGAUUUAUCGCCAUUGGAGCGGCCCGCGUCUGAUUAGCUAGUUGGUGAGGUAAAGGCUCACCAAGGCGACGAUCAGUAGCUGGUCUGAGAGGAUGAUCAGCCACAUUGGGACUGAGACACGGCCCAAACUCCUAGGGGAGGCAGCAGUGGGGAAUCUUGCGCAAUGGGCGAAAGCCUGACGCAGCCAUGCCGCGUGAAUGAUGAAGGUCUUAGGAUUGUAAAAUUCUUUCACCGGGGACGAUAAUGACGGUACCCGGAGAAGAAGCCCCGGCUAACUUCGUGCCAGCAGCCGCCGUAACAC
rnacentral:rRNA from 1 species